UAGUUUGUGAAUGACCAUCCCUUGGUUCACUAAAAGGGCUAGCCAGUAACCACUUCUCUUGCUGGAACGAUUUCCCCAAAUCGAAAACCUAGCGACAAGCGGCGGCGGCGGCGACGCGCGCGGCAGGGAGGCGCGGCGGAGAAGGGCGGCGGUGUUGCGCGCGGGCAGGGAGGCGCUGGGGAGAGGAGCGGCAUCGUCGCGCGCUAGGCGGACAGGCAGGAGGGCGCGGCGCGGCGUGCGCACGCGCAGGGAGGCGCGGCAGCCCCGCGGCCAGUGCGCAGGAGGGCGCGGAGCAGCGGGCGCACGCGCAGGGAUCAAAACUUUUGUAAUUCAGGGGGAGGAGGACACCUGCAGCUUCGUCUUCCUCCGUCAGUGCCUUCGCUACCGCCUCCUAUUCGCAGAGGCUGACUGGGAAGGUCGCCGUCAUCACCGGCGGCGCCAGCGGCAUCGGCAGGGCGACGGCGGAGGAGUUUAUUGUCCCAAAUAAUGUGUUCUAAUCAUAUGACGGAGAUGCUGUACAUAUUGUCCCAAAUAAUGUGUUCUGUCAUCUUUUUUAAAUUGUGUCAAAAUUAUUGCUAAAAUUCUGUCAAAACUAUCCUAAAUAUAGUGUUCUGUCAACUUGUACAAAAUUUGUCUAACAUUUAGGUCCCAUAUUAAAUACGCACAAAUUUAACUUGAAACAUGUCCGGUGUUCAUGCCAAAAUUAUAGUAGAGGUAUAUU